CUGCAUUGUGUCCAACAGGUGGCAGCAGAGAGCUGCAGCGCUCCCGAGUGCUGUAAGGACUGCACGGAGAGAUGUGCGGGUCUUCACGGGAACAGCCAGGAACCGAAAGCUGCAUUUCCCGGGAUGCCCUGGAGCUCCACUUUGCUGACUGGUAAUUGUCUGCCCAGCAGGUAAGGACAAUGCACACCCACCAGUGUUUACCGCUUACUGAGUGAGACACAAGGUGGAGUUCCCAGAGCUCCUUUCUGCACUUCAGGGUGCCCCGAAGGCUGCCCGUCCUAUUCUUUGCACGUUCUCCUUAGCUCUGGCCUUUCACCGUGGUGUUCUCCUUCCUUUCCUUCCCUUUGCCCUUGGCGUUCCCUACUGCAUUCUCUUGCCCUCCUGUUUUUGCAUUCCAUGUCAUGUUCUCUUGGCCAUUGCCCUUGACCUUCUUUGCGGCAUUCUUUUUGGCCUCAGGUUUUGGCGUUCCCUGCAGCGUUCUCUUUGGCCAUUACUUCUGGUGUUCCAUGCAGUGUUCUAUUUGGCCUUAGGUUUUCGCCAUCCAUGCCACGUUCUCCUGGUCAUUGCGCUUGGCCUUCUUUGCCACAUUCUCUUUGGCGUUGCCUUCCAUGUUCUCUUUGACCUUUGCCCUUGGCCUUCUUUGCCGUGUUCCUUUCAGCCUCCUGGCAUUCUCUGCGACAAUCUCUUUGGCCUUUGGUUUUGGCAUUCCUUGUUGCGUUCUGUUUGGCCUUUGCCUUUGGCCUUCUUGUUUUGGCAUUCCCUACAGUGUUCUCUUUGGCCUUUGGUUUUGGCCUUCUGUGCUGCAUUCUCUUUGGCCAUUGCCCUUGGCCUCCUGCAUCGGCCUUCCCUGCAGCGUUCUCAUGGACCUCGCCCUCCAUUUUGGCCUUGCCACGGUGUUCUCUUUGGUCUCUGUUUUGUUCUCUGAGGCCCUCUCUUUGGGCCUGCCCUCUGAGGAGGUCUUUUCUUUGGUGUUCUCCAUACCUUUGCUUUCCCUGUGCCUUUGACGUUGCCUUCCCUUGGGUGUUGUCUCUGCCUUUGCCCUCGGUUUUGGUGUUUCCUUGGGUGUUGUUGCCUUUGCCUUGGCCUUCCCUAACAGUCCCUUUGAGCAUAACCCUAAUAAAGCUAACCCCAAUACCUUCACCCCAACCCUAAUGAGCUCUGAACUCCAAACAUAGUGCUAAUCUGAUGCAAUGCCCUCAGCAGACUUACCAAGGUGCACUCCAUGCCCUCAGGCAGGUCUUCAAUGAAGAUAUUGGACAGAACAGGCCUGAAGAGCACUCAGGAUGGCAUACCAGCUGCUUUUAACACAAUGGAGCAGCACUCAUUAGGCCAGCCGGUUCAGCUACUUCUUCAUCUAGCAAGCAAUGUACCCGUCCAAGUAGCCGGCUGCAAUCUUUGAGAGAAUUUCAAGGGAUAGCACAUCAAAGGCUUUGCCUCACUCAUGGGGUUGGGUCACUGCUUUGAGUGUGCUAGCGUGGCUGACCAUAAUCCUGUAACUGACAUCCUGUAGCUGGACAGAGACCAUUUGCACUCCAUCCUGGCUGUUUAAGACUCACGGCCAUGCUGAGAGUCACACUGAUUUCAGCGUGUGCAGUCAUUUUGCAUCAACCCAAUUAGCUUUACAAAUAAUUUGUCUCAACCAAAUUGGUUUUAGCUUUGCAGUUAAUGCAUUGCAAAUAUGUUGGCUUUAGCUUUGCCUUGCUUACGGGGUUGGGUUAGCUUUGCUUUGUUUGUUUGUACCGCAGGGCUAACCCAACCCCGUAACCAACAU
ensembl:lncRNA